UCAGGCCUAACACAUGCAAGUCGAACGGUAACGCGGGGCAACCUGGCGACGAGUGGCGAACGGGUGAGUAAAGCAUCGGAACGUGCCCAAUCGUGGGGGAUAACGUAGAGAAAUUUACGCUAAUACCGCAUGAGAUCUAAGGAUGAAAGCAGGGGAUCGCAAGACCUUGCGCGAUUGGAGCGGCUGAUGUCAGAUUAGGUAGUUGGUGGGGUAAAGGCCUACCAAGCCGACGAUCUGUAGCUGGUUUGAGAGAACGACCAGCCACACUGGGACUGAGACACGGCCCAGACCCCUACGGGAGGCAGCAGUGGGGAAUUUUGGACAAUGGGCGAAAGCCUGAUCCAGCAAUGCCGCGUGCAGGAAGAAGGCCUUCGGGUUGUAAACUGCUUUGUACGGAACGAAACGGUCUGGGUUAAUACCUGGGCUAAUGA
rnacentral:rRNA from 1 species